rnacentral:rRNA from 1 species
ACUCAAAGGAAUUGACGGGGGCCCGCACAAGCAGCGGAGCGUGUGGUUUAAUUCGAGGCUACACGAAGAACCUUACCCAGGUUUGACAUAGGUGUGGUAGCGAAGCGAAAGCUGAGCGACCCGUAAGGGAGCAUCAACAGGUGCUGCAUGGCUGUCGUCAGCUCGUGUCGUGAGAUGUUCGGUUAAGUCCGAAAACGAGCGCAACCCCCGGUGCCAGUUACACGUGUCUGGCGCGACUGCCCGCGAGAAGCGGGAGGAAGGUGGGGAUGACGUCAAGUCAGCAUGGCCUUUAUAUCUGGGGCUACACACACGCUACAAUGGGCGGUACAGUGGGUUGCGAGACCGCGAGGUGGAGCCAAUCCCAAAAAGCCGUUCGUAGUUCGGAUUGUAGGCUGCAACUCGCCUGCAUGAAGCCGGAGUUGCUAGUAACCGCGUAUCAGCCAUGGCGCGGUGAAUACGUUCCCGGGCCUUGCACACACCGCCCGU